AGCCGUGGGCAGAGAGCCCGGCCGGAAUUCCUCGUGUGGGUCUGGCGAUGGAAAGGCUGGGUAGGUCCGGUGCCCACCCUAAUGCUGUACCCGCUGAACUCCCAGAGGGGAUUUAUUGUGUGGUCACGUUGCUGUUCGGCCUGCUGAAGUGUGCUGUUUAUUGUUGUUGCUGCUUCACCUACUUUGUGGGCAGAGUGCUGCAUAAACCGGGCUUCUCUUGAAAAGUAGACGGAAUCAGCUUCUUUUUCGGAUUUUCCUCUCUCUUCCUGCCCUUCCCAUGCUGUCCGGUGUGCUUUUUCUGUCCAUGGCUGGAGCAUUUUUUAGGCCUGGAAGGAGGGAGUUCUUUUUUCUCACUUCUGAGCUAUCUGACCCGCACUGGUGGUGUCUGUGAUUGCUGGUCUGAAAACCCGGAUGAAUUCUCACCGGCCACAUCCAGUCUGUCCCCUGUGCCUCAGCUUUUUUCUUUUCUUUUUUUUCUUUCUUGGAUGGCAGGCAGGCAGGCUGGCCGGGCUCGGGGCCUUCUGCCGGCUUGCGAUGGACACUUUUCUGGGACAGCUCAGCUCAAGAGGCUCCUGGAGGAUGAGACACCCCUACUUUCGUCUUCUUUGUGUCCCUGGAUUUGGUCAGCUCAAUGACAAAUCAGCCCUCUCCUGAAGAAGCCAUGGACCCUGGAUGGUUGCCCCGUCCGUAUUGCCUGGCGAGGUGGCCAUGGGCCUGCUGCAGGCUGCUUCCACGGUGCUUGUGUGAAGUCACAUGCCCUCCUGGAUGGAUGCUUGGGCUUUUUAUUUUGUGUUCCUUUUCACCAUUGGCCGUAGACACAUCACUCUCCUUGUUUUUGUUUUUCUCCUUCCCUCCUAUCGCUGGUUUAUAAUGUCUUUAAGAGACUAGGACUCCCUCGUUCUACAUCUCGCCUUUGUAGGGAGACCGGGGUCCAAGGUGGGAACAGAGCAUCAUUUGAUGAGCCCUGUUGAUGGCGUGGCUUCCGUACUCUGCUUAGGAAACCUCAGAAAUUCUGGGUUUUACUGGAGGAUGCUGCUCAAGAUGGUCCUUUGGCCUGAUCUUUUGACCAGAAAGGGAUUAAAAAGUUGCCCAUCCUGAUGGCUGUGCCUGCCGGUUGCAUGGAGCCUCAUUCAGGAUUUCCUGAGCCUCUUGGAUUUACAGUGAUACUCAGCUGCGGGGAGUGGAGGAAGCAUUCUCUGGAAUCACAGACGGCACACGUCUGGAUGCUAAUGAUGGUUUUACGGAUGGCCCCGGCUGAGUGCUUGGCAGAUCCCUGCAGCCUGGAUGCCUGUGGGGUCAGAGGACCGCGGCUUCCUGGGACGGCGGAGGUCUCUGCCCUUAUCUUCAUGCAAAUGUUCAGUUGGGUUGCUGCUAGCCUCACUGAGGGCGCCCCGUGAAACAAUCCUGUCAUACCUCGGAUUUUGGUGCCUUCAGUCUGAAAAAUACACACAUCCAUUUGGUACCCUAGAGGAACUGGAGAAUUGUCUUCCCCUGAAUGAAGCUGGACCAUUCUGGGAUUUGGAGAAAGGGCCAGGCAGGCAACUCGUGAGCGAGUGAUGUGGAUCUGGUGGGCAGACCGCAGAGGUUGGUGGGGAACUCGAAGGAACCAGGACGCCCGCUGUGAUGUACUGGCCUGGGUGCCCCGCUCAGAACAGCCCCCGGGGGAUGUGCCUGGUCAGUGGGUGGCAUCUCCUCUGCAGCGAUUGGAAGACUCAAGUGUGUUCCAUGCUCGUCGUCUGCCAUCCUUUCAACGACCUUGAAGUCUACCCAGCUGGCAGAGGAGGGACAAGGAGGCUCCCCGAAGCCCCCAGGAACCCCCGCAGCCUGGCUCUCGGCCGACCCUCUUCGGGACACCGUGUCAUGUUGCGUUCACUGAUCCGUAUGAUGGCAUGUCCGGCACCACCAGUGACGGCAGGUUCGCUGCUCCGUGUGAUGACGCCUUCCCCGCUCCACGGAGUGCUAGCCUGCGUGUUCGUCGUGCUGAGAGGUCACAGAGGGAAAGGGAGCCUUGGAGCAAUGCCCCGGGGGAUAGAGGCCAGAAUGUUCCAGGUGGAAAAAAUCUGUGCUCCAGGUGGUGACAGCAGUGAAAUCUGGCCACACCAGGGAGUGUCUGCUGCGGGGAGCCUCGGCCAGGCCACCGUCGGGCCUCCCUCCAGCCUGCUGGGCAGUAGCCCCCCUUCCCACGUCCACGCUCCGUGGGCCGCGGUGAGUGUGUUAGCCAGGACGUUACACAUGAGAAAGCUUGACGUCGGCUGGGCGACGAGUUGGUGUUGCUGCCUGCAGUUCAGCCCCCCACCCCCACCCCUCCGCCCCCUGAACAUUCUCUGGCUGUGACGGCACAGGGGGAAGGGCCGGCGGGCCCUGGAGACGCUCUCCUAGUUGCCUGACAUUCCGAGUAUGAUUCAUAAUGAUUGUAGCAGAUGAGGCAUGAGGGCCGAGGCUCAGACUGCAGCUGAUGGAGGUCUUCUCCCAAGGAAGCGUGCCCAGCCUCCCCGGGGGCCUCCGCCGUCUGGCUGGCCUGGGCCGCCCGGUGCCCAGCAGCGUGGUCAGUGAUGAGCGGCCCGUUAUGGGGGGGCCACUGUGCGUAGGGGAUGAUGCUGCAGCCGCGAGAGAGCCCUGAGAAUGGGGAUCCCAGCAAGCUGGGGUGCGUUUUACGUUCAUUACUUUUUAAAUAUCUGGAAAAUAAUGAAGAACUAUGAAAAAGGCUGUAAUUGCACCAAUUUUAAAAAUUAACAAACGGGGGAGUGAAAAGUGGCCAACCCCACUGUCAAACACCUCCCACCUCUUCCUGAGAUAAUCCCUAUUAUCAGUUCGGUCAUUUAUGCAAACCCAGUGGUGGGCUGUUCAGACUCUUAUGAAGGAAAGAAAGCCCCGGAUUGUAGGUUUGCCGACAUCUGAGGGGUGAGAUCCCACCAUGGCGAUUAAAGAUUUAAAAUCCAUUUUGCACAAUUCUUGAAUAUUUACCAGUUGGCUUCUGUUAAACCCCUGCACUGUCACAAGCAAUCACUUUCUUUUUGGCGGCACGAGGGGCGGAAAUUGGAAACCCAUUACGCAUAGUGGUCUGCUUGUCAUUUUCAUUUCCUGUGUCGCAUACCUCUUCCUCAACCAGCGCAUGCAGAUUCACUUAGCUCAUUUCCCUUGCAUGGUGGGGUUUCUUCCCUGAAGGUGCACUUUGUUGCUCUUGGAAGGUUCUUGCAGAAUCGUCCCACCGGGGGAAGGGAGGGUGACAGCGGAUCUUCGCGUUCAGGGAGGCUGGCUCCUGCUGCCCACAUCUUAGACCAACUUCGUUGGAGUUCAUUGUAGCUCCUGGCCUCUCCUGAACGUGUCAUUCUGAGUCUGGAGGCUAAGCACCUCUGAUGGUGACACUUGCAUUCACUUUCACUCAUCUUUAGGUUCCAUUGGAUAAUCUCAUUUUUCUUCUGGGGAGUCUUUCCUGAUAUUCCUCUCUUUCCCCACACCUGCUCUCUGAGGCUGGGCAGUGGGCCUCUUCCCGGUUUCUUAGAACCCAGGGCUCCCAUCUAUGAUGAUGGUCCCCACACUUUAUUAUUUAUUUUACAGGUUUCCUGUAGAGAAGCAGAGAAGCUCUGCCAGCCAGAAUAGUACACUCCCCACCCCCCAAUGCCUACACCCAAAUCUCUGGGGCUGUGCCUAUGAAAUCGUUACUUUACCUGACAGAGGGGCCUUUGCAGAUGGCAUUAAGGUGACUAAGCAGUGGGCCCAUGCGGAGAUUAUUCUGGAUGAUGCAGACAACUUUCUUUGAUUGGGAUCAGAGAGAUCGGCUCCUCCCUUCCCCCAAGAGGAAUCAGCCUCCAGUGUGAGAAGGGUUUAGUGUGCUGCUGGUUCCCACAUGUAGGGACCCAGGCAUGAGGACCGGAGGCAGAAAGGUGGCCCCUGCUGACUGCCAGCAAGGAAAAGGACCCUCAAUCCUCAACCACAGGAGACCAAAUUCAUCCGAGGGCGUGGAUGAGUGAACUUGGAAGAUGGUCCCUCCCCACAGCCUCCCAGUUAAGAGCCAACACCUUGAAUCCAGCCCACAGAAGCUGGGAUGGAGGCCCCGGCUGUGGCACGUCUGACCUGGAGACUGAGACUGUGCAUGUGUGCUAUUUGGAGCCACCGUGUUGGGGCAUCUGGGUGGCUCAGUGGCUGAGCGUCUGCCCUCCGCUCAGGGCGUGAUCCCGGGGUCCUGGGAUCGAGCCCCACAUCGGGUUCCCCACGGGAAGGCUGCUUCUCCCUCUGCCUAUGUC